rnacentral:lncRNA from 1 species
AAGAAGGGUCAAGCAAGCCGCUGAGCACCAGAAUGGUCCACUGAGCGCUCAGAGCGAUUAGAGGGAAACCGCUCAGCGGCAAAACUGACCGCUGAGCGGUCAAAGCGGCACAAGGCAAACCGCUGAGCGGUGAAUUUAGGCGCCUGGGCGGUUGUCUGAUUUUUUAGCUAGAUUUUGUAAAUCUUUCUAUAAUCUUUAUGUUAUCUUUUU